UCCCUAGUGGUCUAGUGGUUAUGACUUGGUGCUUUCACUGCUGUGGCCCAGGUUCAAUCCCUGGUCUGGGAA
rnacentral:tRNA from 1 species